AUUGAACGCUGGCGGCAUGCUUUACACAUGCAAGUCGAACGGUAACAGGCCGCAAGGUGCUGACGAGUGGCGAACGGGUGAGUAAUGCAUCGGAACGUGCCCAGUCGUGGGGGAUAACGCAGCGAAAGCUGCGCUAAUACCGCAUACGAUCUCUGGAUGAAAGCGGGGGACCGAAAGGCCUCGCGCGAUUGGAGCGGCCGAUGUCAGAUUAGGUAGUUGGUGGGGUAAAGGCCCACCAAGCCAACGAUCUGUAGCUGGUCUGAGAGGACGACCAGCCACACUGGGACUGAGACACGGCCCAGCCUCCUACGGGAGGCAGAAGUGGGGAAUUUUGGACAAUGGGCGCAAGCCUGAUCCAGCAAUGCCGCGUGCAGGAAGAAGGCCUUCGGGUUGUAAACUGCUUUUGUACGGAACGAAACGGUUCGGGUUAAUACCCUGGGCUAAUGACGGUACCGUAAGAAUAAGCACCGGCUAACUACGUGCCAGCAGCCGCGGUAAUAC
rnacentral:rRNA from 1 species